AUAUAGACCUCUAGAUUCCAUGAAAUUUUACCUCUUGAGUUGACAAGUGCUAUUUUGUAUUCUACAAUCUAAUAUUGCUCAUGGAGUCCCCAUUGUGGUGCAGCAGAAAUGAAUCUGACUAGGAACAUGAGGUUGCAGGUUCGAUACCUGGGCCUUGCUUGGUGGGUUAAGGAUCCGUGAGCUGUGACAUAGGACACAGAUGCGGCUGAGAUCUGCGUUGCUGUGGCUGUGGUGUAGGCCGGCAGCUGCAGCUCUGAUUCAACCCCUAGCCUGGGAACUUUCAUAUGCCCCAGGUGUGGCCCUAAAAAGCAAAUAAGUAAAUAAAUAAUAUUGCUCAUGGGAGGGAAGGCUAAUGCUGUCUUGAUUAUUAUUAUCUUUUAGGAGGAAUUAACAUUUUUUGGAAAACUUUUAGGAUAGUCUCAUCUGUAGUAUUAUGAAAUUCCACAAGCAUAAUUCUGGUGCCUUUUUUCCUAUUGUAAUUGUUUUUAUAAUAUAAUUGUGAUUGUAUAAGUAUGGUUGAGCACUUCAGCUUGCUCACCAUUCAGUGAAUUAAUCCACAUUGAACAGUCAUAACUUUUUUCAGUUUAGAAAGAUUCUUAACCACUUAUUUAAUACAGUGCUCUUAGAUUUUCUCUAUUAAUUUUUUUCUCUGAAACGUGCAUUAGUUAGACAUUGGACCUUGUAAACUUCCAAGUCCCUUUUGUCUCUCAUUUUCUUUUAGAUUCAUGAACUUAAAAGAGUUUCCAUAAUUUUCUUUCAAACCUUCUAUUAUUACAGUAGUAAUGCAUUCUUUUUUCUUCCACCCUAUGGCAUAGGGAAUUCCUGGCCAGGGAUCAGAGCUGGGCCACAGUUGCACCCUAUGUUGUUGCUGCAGCAGUGCUGGAUCCUUAAUCCACUUUGCCGGCCUGGGGAUCAAACCUCUAUUCCAGCACUCCAGAGAUGCCUCUGAUCCCAUUGCACCAGAGAGGGAACUCCAAGAAUGCUUUUUCAUUCUUAAGAGUUCUUACUUAAUUCUUUUUGGUAGCUUCUCAUACUUGCUUUAAAAAUGCAUCAUCUGGAAUUCCCAUCGUGGCGCAGUGGAAAAUGAAUCCAACUAGGAACCACGAGGUUGUGGGUUCGAUCCCUGGCCUUGCUCAGUGGGUUAAGGAUUCAGAUGUGGCUCAGAUCUGGCAUUGACGUGGCUGUGGCAUAGGCCAGCAGCUGUAGCUCUGAUUAGACCCCUAGCCUGGGAACCUCCAUAUGCUGCGAGUGAGGCCCUAAGAAGACAAAAGACAAAAUAAUGCAUCAUCUGAUAAAUCUCAGACUAACAUAAAUGUUAAUUUUCUUCUCAUUAUAUAACUUCUCCUCUUCUGAGUUUCGGCUGUCUCUUGGUCCUUAUGCUGAUACGUUUCUUCAUCUGUGAUGAUCCUUAGUUGUCUGUUCACACUUAAGAAUGGUAUGGUGUAGUUAUCUUAGGUAGAUAGCAAAGGUUCUUGUAGCUCUCUUUACCUGAAUGAGGUUUACUAGACUCUCUGUAGUCAAGGGAAGAGCUGGUGAGUUGGUGAGAUUCUCCAGAGUCCAAAAAAGUUUUCACCUUAGGCUGCCAGCUCUCACCCUAGUUGACCUAGUUCUCCAUAACUUCAAUUUUUCCAUGGUGUGAAAUUUUAAAUGGUUUGCAAUUUUAAAUGAUAACAUUCUUGGAGGUCCUCUUGUGGCUCAGUGGUAACUACCCCGACUAGUAUUCAGGGGAUGCGGGUUCAAUCCCUGGCCUCACUCAGUGGACAAAGGAUCCAGCAUUGCCUUGGGCUCUGGCAUGGGUCGCAGAUGCAGCUUGGAUCUGGUGCUGCUGCGGCAUAGGCCAGCAGCUGCAACUCCAGUUUGACCUCUAGCCCCAGGAACUUCCAGUUCUCUCUCCAAAAGAAACACUUAUCCGUUGGAUGUGUCCAAGACUUUUUCUGAAUGUUUGCAUGCUUGUGAAAACGUCUUAGAAAUAGGUUUAAAAUCUCUGAUACUCUAUUAUUAAGCACAUUUUUCACUUUUUAAUCAGUUUUUUAUUGACAAAUCCCUAUCACUACUACCAGUCCUUUCUUUUAAACUGGUGCUACUAUUUCCGUGUAGCCUAUGUAUGCCUCUAUUGAUUUAGAUUUAGACUGAAAUUUAGAUUGUUUCCAGUUUCAUAUACUAACUAAUCUGCCCGCCAGAGGUUAUAGUGAACAUUUUAAAAACUUCAGUGCCUCCAGAGUGCCAGUAAGGAGUACCCAUUUCUCCACACAGUUGCCAAGUUUUUAUAAUACGUUAUUUAAAUUUGCAUCUCAGUACUAGCCAGGUAGGGACUCAUAUUCAUUAGUCAUCUUCAUUUCUUCUAUGAUUUGCCCAUUCUUAUCUUUUGUUCAUUUUCAUUCUUGCUUGGUUGUCCUUUACCUAUCUGUAGCAUUUUUGUUUUUGUUUUGCUUUUCAGGGCUGCACCCCAUGGCAUAUGGAGGUUCCCAGGCUAGGGGUCAAAUCGGAGCUGUAGCCACUGGCCUAUACCACAGCCACAUCAGAUCCGAGCCGCGUCUGUGUCCUACACCACAGCUCACAGCAGGGGCGUGUGUGGAGUGGGGAAUCUGUUGGUAGGGGUACUAUCUUCACUUUCAAAUAGAAAACCAUUUAACGGUCCUGUCGUCUUGUCUCCUUAGCUCCAGCCUCGACACAAGCCAGCUCAAAGCUUGAGCUCUGCUGGGGAUGCUGUAGGCAGACCCCCAUUACUGAAAUUCCCAUCACGCAGAAAUUUCAGGUAACAGCGUUUUCU
ensembl:lncRNA